rnacentral:lncRNA from 1 species
GGAGUAGAGGCUGAUGGGCUGGCAGGGUGGUCCAUGUCUGGGCAACAUUAGGAGCCAGGAGAAAAUGGAUUAAAGCCCAGAACCUGAUUGUGUCCCUUCUUAACCUCUGGGCUCCAUCCCUACCCCAGAGGAGAAGGAGAGGAAGCCACCUGCUGUUCCUACAGGGCUUCUGGGAGAGGAGCAAACUAAAGUCCUCCUUGAUGGCAGGAGACUCCCUUUGUAAGCCAGAAAGGCCCCUGACCAGGAUGGAGAGGCCUGGUCCUGCCAUUUGCCAUAUCACAGCUUCCCCACCUAUAAAACAGUUUCCACCAAAGCAGAUGAUCUCCACUGGUGCUGAUGUCCAAAGCACCUGAAUUUUAAAAUUCAGGCGAAUUCUUCAUUCUACUCAAUAAGUAUUUGUGUUUAUUUUACUAUAACAAAUAACGUUUUAAAUUACUUCCAAGUAAAACAAACAGUCCAGAAAGAUGCACCAGAUGGUUUCAGGUUAGCCCCCACCCCCACAGAGCUCUUUCCAGCCCAGUUUGGAGAGUGUGGCUCUAGCAUUUAUGGAC